CGUAAUAAUAAUAAUAAUAAUAAAUUGGAAUUUAUAUAGCGCUUUUUCACAGACUCAAAGUCGCUUUACAGGGAAGUACAUUAGGAAGUAAAACUAAAGCCAGGACAAGACAAAAACCACACUUCAAAACAAAACAG